UAAAGUCUGACCAAGCAAACUAAAGUUAAUGUGGAAUCAUGAGUAUCAGGAUCAGUUUUGUAAGUAAAUUCACGCUGAUAGAAAAACAGAAGAGAUUUAUAUAUUUUAAUACAUUUUUUAACAGCUCAGUUCAAUUUCAAAUUCAACAAUAUUUUGCCUCCAAAGGGAAAUAAAAUAAAGGUAACACAAGGCGUUCAAGAUUCUUUAAAGAGUUAUUGUAGAUGUGGGUUGGUAGGACAGAUCUCCUGUAGCAGUCUGUGUUGCAGCAAAUUUGAAAAAUCUUCUCGUAAAAGUAUCAUUUUAAAACUCCAACAGAGACUGAUGUGUUUACUGUAAAAUAUGUAUGAAAGUAGCAUUAAAAAUUCUAACCCUAUAUUAUAACUCUAACCCAAACAGAGCAUUUCUUCUUAUGGGCCCCAGGAUUUGGGCCCCAUAAUGAUAAGUCAGUCCCCACAAUAUAGUAUUUGUUAGAAAAUGGUCCUUAAACUAUAUCGAAAAUAAAGCCACACACAUGAUCACAUUUUCACCCCUGUACUUCCAACUAACAGGGGACUUUUUAUUGAUUUCCACUCAUAUUAGUAACUGCAUUCAUGUCUAACCCAAACAUUUGGCAUAAUAUAUUCCUAACCAUAUCCUUAACUUAAGGAUAUGGUCUAAAUCUUACUGAAAUAGAACUGGAAUAAAAUAAAAAAAAUUUAAAAAGUAAAUAUCACCUUCCACAAACGUCCUCUCUUUGUUGGUAGUCUGCUAUAUGAAGAAUAGUUAAACAUAGAAAGAGAGAGAGAGGAAGAGAGAGAGAGAGAGAGUGUUGGAAGAGAAGGAUGUACUUUGAACACGUCACUGUUUUCUUCCUGUGGGAGAUUCUACAGAUUCUCAUACUGAACACACCAGCAUAUGAUGGGUGUAGAAACACAACAUCAUCUGCAUAUAAGAAAAUCCCCAAUGAAAUCAAUCAUCAGUGUGAGAUAAAACACCAAAUUACAAUUAUUCUAAGUUUAAGAAAAGACAAUGAUCAUCAUCUUCUGCUUAAUGGUCAAUGUUGUUCCAGCUUUAGGAGCUUCUCUCAGCGAUCGGGUCCAUCAGACUCCGGCCGAGAUGUUCCACAGACCAGGCCAGGCCGCCGUUAUCAACUGUUCACACAGUAUUGACGGCUACGAUCGGAUCCUCUGGUACAAACACUCAAACGGCAACCAGAUGCAGUUCCUGGGAUACAUGAACGUAAUGUUUGGAACUCCAGAGCCGGGAGUCAACGUGAAAAUCAAUGGCAGCUCAAACAAAGGCGAGCUCUGCACUCUGGAGGAUCUGAGCGUGAGCAGCAGCGCCGUUUAUUUCUGCGCCGCUAGAUACCACAGUGCUUCAUGUUAACGCUCCCCAGCACAAAAACCUCGAGUUUAAUCUUUUUAUUGCCUUAUCUUUGUGCAGCUGCGCUGCUUCCUUUCAUGAGGCGGCGGUGUGUCGUCACAGACUGCCUCAGCGCUCAGGAGAAACUGAAGCUCCUCCUUCAUGAAGAUGGUUUGAUAAAAACAGGCAUUCAAUCCAAACUCGGCAGUGUUCAAACAGAGUAACCGUAAAACAAUAAAGGAAUGUUGAUCACUGUCGUCCUGAGCGUUUAUUUCAACUGGAUUCUGCUCCCAGGUUCUUCUCGGAGUGAGCAGGUGUUUCAGACUCCUGCCAACAGCUUCAGUAGAUCAGGCGGGACGGCCAACAUCAACUGUUCACACAAUGUUCAAAACUACAACCAGAUCCUCUGGUACAAGCAACAAGCCAGUGGACUGCUCCUCCUGGGCUACGUCUACUACAAUGACCACUACCCAGAGAAAGGGCUGGACGUCAAGACGACCGGGAGCGCAGAUAAAGAUCAGCAGUGCACGUUGACAGUAGAGAGGCUCGACUCUAACAGCAGCGGGGUUUACUUCUGCGCUGCCAGUCGCCACAGUAACACAAUCCACCGAUUUGUCAGUACAAAAACCUCUCAAGCAGGUUUGCAUGUGCGCCUCCAGACUCAAAGCCACACAAACCCAGAAUAACUGUAAUUUGGUGUUUCAUCUCACAAUGACAAAUUAUUUCCCUGGAGGUUCUCUUGUAUGCAGAUGAAAGUGGUUUAAAGAUGUUUUUCAAAGAAACUAAGUAAAUAUAUUAUGUACUGUUUGAGGCAGUUCAAUUAGAACUACAUAUAUUUAGUUAUUUAGUCCUACAGAUUUGUCUGUUCUAGAAAUAGUGAGACAAACUGAACAGUUGUGAAGUGAUCUUCCUGUAUCUCAGAAAUAAAUUCCCUACUAAUAAAUAAAAUGCUUCUGUUAGUUUCUAAAUUACUGACUAAGCUAAAUAUUUUAGCUUAGCACCAAAAUGCAUUAAAGGCCUGUUGUGAUCGUGUCAACCUUCCAGACUUCUCAGGUUUUCUGGUUCCAGUUCUGCUCUGCAUCCCAACCAGAACCAGUCAGAACCACACAAAGCAGCAUUCAGCUUCUAUGCACCACAAAUCUGGAACAAACUUCCAGAAAACGGCAAAACAGAAAAAGAAAAAAAAACAGAGUUCCUUUAAAUCAAGGCUUUAACACGCCUGCUUAUAGUUGCUUUUGAGUCACAAUAAAUGGAACAUUGGUCAAUAAAUAUUUUCUUGAUUUUGAUGAUAACAUUCGACUAAAUGUAACAUUUAUUGCUCGUUUCAAAACUGGUGACUGCAUGCCGUUUUUAUGAUGUAAAAGACUUGAACUGCCUUUUUGCUAAAAUGUGAAAUCCAUAUAACCUUGACUUGACUUGUUGAUGGAUGAUUGGUUUCCUUAUUUGACAGAGGAGGAGCCACAGUAACUCCUCUCACUCCGUCUCAGACUGGAACAAGACUUCUAGGUUUGUUGUGAUCCAGAUGGUUUGAGCUGUUAGGAUUAAACCAACAUAGAAAAGUAAACAAUCAUGAUCGUCAUCUUCUGUAUCAUCUGUCAUGUUAUGCUUGUUUCAGGUUCUUCUCUCAGUGACCAAGUCCACCAGACUCCUUCUGAAACGUUCUGCAAAACCGGAGAUAAACCCCAAAUCAGCUGCAGGCAUGAAAUUCAGGACUACACCCGGAUCUUCUGGUACAAACAGUCGACGGACCACCAGAUGCAGCUCCUGGGGUACAUGAACGUCAACGACGGCUAUCCAGAGACAGGAGUGAAUGUGAAGAUAAAUGGAGGAGCAACUAAAGGGGAAACCUGCUAUUUAAUAAUAGAGGGAGUCAACACGAGCAGCAGCGGCGUUUACUUCUGUGCUGCUAGUCGGCACAGUGCUGCAUGUCUCUGCUUCUCAGUACAAAAACCUCCAAACAGCAGAUUUCUUUCAUCUGAGGCCAGCAGCUUACUGAUUGUUCCAGCUGCUUCGGUACCUCCAGCUAACACUGUCCUGCAUUUCUAAAGCAGACAGGUAGAAGGUGUUAAAGCAACUAUCACUAGGAUAGAUAAUAGUUUAGAUCUAAAUCCGGUUUUGAAAGACUUAAAGGCUUUCUGCAACUCCACUCUAUAAAGUCUGACUGAGUUCAAGGUAUUUUGCAAAGUUGAUCAGGAAAAGAUUUCAGUCUCCAAAUCUUUAAAGCUAAUAAAGGUCAGCGGUGU